AUUGAACGCUGGCGGCAGGCCUAACACAUGCAAGUCGAGCGGAUGAAGGGAGCUUGCUCCUGGAUUCAGCGGCGGACGGGUGAGUAAUGCCUAGGAAUCUGCCUGGUAGUGGGGGAUAACGUCCGGAAACGGGCGCUAAUACCGCAUACGUCCUGAGGGAGAAAGUGGGGGAUCUUCGGACCUCACGCUAUCAGAUGAGCCUAGGUCGGAUUAGCUAGUUGGUGGGGUAAAGGCCUACCAAGGCGACGAUCCGUAACUGGUCUGAGAGGAUGAUCAGUCACACUGGAACUGAGACACGGUCCAGACUCCUACGGGAGGCAGCAGUGGGGAAUAUUGGACAAUGGGCGAAAGCCUGAUCCAGCCAUGCCGCGUGUGUGAAGAAGGUCUUCGGAUUGUAAAGCACUUUAAGUUGGGAGGAAGGGUAGUAAGUUAAUACCUUGCUGUUUUGACGUUACCAACAGAAUAAGCACCGGCUAACUUCGU
rnacentral:rRNA from 1 species